ACUAGAAACUUACCUAAAAAAAUAAUGAAGCUGAGAUUCUCGUGCAAUUUUUUUUUAUUCUAGCAACUGCGGCUUUAGCACUAACACCAAAUAUUGUGAGACUCAUGACAAAAUCAUGAGAUUUGGGAACACAGCCUACCGUGGAAAAUCUACAGCAAACAGGAUUCAGAAAUAAUAUUUUAGUACGUUUUCAAAUUUUGAAAUGAAGAUCCAGUCUGAAAACUAAUGGAGUGGUCUGGUGGAGCACUGGGAACUCCUGGAGCCAUUGAAUCUGAGGGAGCACAAUGUCUUCUGGCGGACAGAUUCUUCCCUGCAUUUGAAGCUGCUGGUGUAUAACAGACACCUGCCAUAGCCUCCCUUUCAAUGUUCUUCCAGAGAUGAGCACAGAAUGCUACACCAGCCCAGAUGUACCCCUUUUGCAGCUUCCUUGAUGUUAGAGGAAUUGCACCUACUUACAACAGAGCUGAAUUUGGCCCAAGGAAUGCUCUGUUUCCAUUUUGGGCCCAAAUAUUUUUGUGAGCAAGGCUUGCAGGACUGAACCCUUAAUGAUUAUCAAAGCUGUAGAAAAGAUAUGGGAACAAGCCCUAAAUGUUUCAACGAAUGGUAUUCAGCUGCAAGAGCCAGAAAUCUACAAGAGUUUGUAGAGGAGAGACUUCAGACUAAUUUUGCAGAUGCAUGAAAUUUGGCUAACAUCUGGGUUUUUGCAUUUACCCAAACUGAACCUGAACACAGAGCCCUUUGGAAGCUUGCUCAUCUCUACAGAAUAUGUCAUUCCUUUUAAACUAGGUAAGGAGUAAAUACACAGCAUAAUUUAAAUAUUUUGUCUUCUCACAACUGUUCUUCCUUCCCUUCUCUUCCAUAUGUUUGUUGUUUUUUUCCAUUGUGCUAUGUGAGAGACAGUAUUUGCUUUACAAGUCAGGUGUGUGGGGCGGUUGGGUGGGGAGCAAGUUCCUUCAGUAUUGAGUAUCUAAUUAAUCUCUUCUUAAACAGGAUGGGUAAUCUGAUCAGUGCAGAUUAUUCUGGUAGCAUCUGUUUGGGUCAGGUAUACUGGUUCUGGGCCACCUCUAAAUAGAAAUCCAAAGCUGGAAAAAAUCAGAGCUGAAUAUCUUUGUGUCAUGUAUAAGGAAGUUCAGAAAAAGUUCAUAUCUUAUUUUUACCGUCAAGGAUAGUGAUUAGCCAGAAACUAGGCUUUCAGAAUCCACAAACAUUCCAUUUAUUUGCCAGCAUCAGAAUAAAGCUUCAGCGUUCCAGCGAAAACCUCUCUUUUUGUCUGCUAAUGUAAUGGGGGCUUAUUUGCUGCAUCUCCAUGUUACUUGGAAAAGCAUCAGGGUUUCAUUGUAAAUCCAUUAUGUCUCCCUUGGUCAGAAAUUAUAAAUGACAACUAGUCCCAAGGUAAAGAAAAGAAAGUAUUAUUUUGUAGAGUAAAAAGGGGUUAAAUCACAUUUUAUCAUGACUGUCCUCCUGGUUGUGACAUAUUCAAUGUAUUAUUUAGCUUAAGUGCAUGAUUAAGAAAGAACUGGGGGUACUUCUGGGGAGCAUUUUCACAGACACUAUACUUAUAGUACCUCAUGCUGUAGUACAGAAGAAAGAAAAAUGACAUGUCCCUUUGUGAACAUAUCCUCUUAAAAUUAGGUUAUAGAUUAUACAGUGGUGUGGGAUCCUGUAUGAAUUUCUGGGUCAGAGGUACUUUGUUUUUCUUUUAAACAGCAAAACCCUUGUAUCUUUAUUAAAAAUGUAUUUGCUGUCAAUAAUUAAAUGCUUAUUAUUUGAUCUUUAAUGGGACCAUGAUUCCCAUAUUAAUGUAAUAAUGCAAAAGAAAAA